CGGCGUGCCUAAUACAUGCAAGUCGAACGCUUUUAUCUCACCGGGUGCUUGCACCCACCGAGAUAAAGGAGUGGCGGACGGGUGAGUAACACGUGGGUAACCUGCCCAUAAGUGGGGGAUAACAUUGCGGAAACGGAUGCUAAUACCGCAUAUCUCUAUUGGCCUCAUGGCCAAGUGAUGAAAGGCGGCUUCGGCUGUCGCUUAUGGAUGGACCCGCGGCGCAUUAGUUAGUUGGUGAGGUAACGGCUCACCAAGACGAUGAUGCGUAGCCGACCUGAGAGGGUGAUCGGCCACACUGGGACUGAGACACAGCCCACACUCCUACAGGAGGCAGCAUUAGGGAAUCUUCCGCAAUGGACUAAAGUCUGACUGAGCAACGCCGCGUGAGUGAAGAAUGUUUUCGGAACGUAAAACUCUGUUGUUAGAGAAGAACAAGGAUGAGAGUAACUGCUCGUCCCUUGACGGUAUCUAACCAGAAAGCCAUGGCUAACUACGUGCCAGCAGCCGCGGUAAUACGUAGAUGGCAAGCGUUGUCCGGAUUUAUUGGGCGUAAAGCGAGUGCAAGCGGUUCUUUAAGUCUGAUGUGAAAGCCCCUGGCUUAACCAGGGAGGGUCAUUGGAAACUGGAGGACUUGAGUGCAGAAGAGGAAAGUGGAAUUCCAUGUGUAGCGGUGAAAUGCGUAGAUAUAUGGAGGAACACCAGUGGCGAAGGCGACUUUCUGGUCUGUAACUGACGCUGAGACUCGAAAGCAUGGGGAGCAAACAAGAUUAGAUACCCUGGUAGUCCAUGCCGUAAACGAUGAGUGCUAAGUGUUGGAAGGUUUCCCCCCCUUCCAUGCUGCAGCUAAACGCAUUAAGCAUUCCCGCUUGGGGAGUACGCCGGCAGGGUUGAAAUUCAAAGGAAUGGACGGGGGCCGGCACAAGCGGUGGACCAUGUGGUUAAAUUGGAAGCAACGGGAAGACCCUUCCCAGGUCUUGACAUCCUUUAACCACUCUAGAGAUAGAGCUUUCCUUUGGGGGAUAAAGUGACAGGUGGUGCAUGGUGGUGUUCAGUUGGUGUCGUGAGAUGUUGGGUUAAGUCCGGCAAGGAGCGCAACCUUAUCUAUUAGUUGCCAGCAUUCAGUUGGGCACUCUAGUGAGACUGCCGGUGACAAACCGGAGGAAGGUGGGGAUGACGUCAAAUCAUCAUGCCCCUUAUGACUUGGGCUACACACGUGCUACAAUGGAAGGUACAAAGAGAUGCGAAACAGUGAUGUCUAGCUAAUCUCUUAAAGCCAUUUUCAGUUCGGAUUGUAGGUUGCAAUUCGCCUACAUGAAGCUGGAAUCGCUAGUAAUCGCGGAUCAGCACGCCGCGGUGAAUACGUUCCCGGGCCUUGUACACACCGCCCGUCACACCCCGAGAGUCUGUAACACCCAAAGUCGGUGAGGUAACCUUCGGGAACCAGCCGCCUAAGGUGGGAUGGAUAAUUGGGGUGAAG
rnacentral:rRNA from 1 species